CUCGUCCACACGCGCCUGUCGGGCGUUUUGGAUCUCGCAGAGGAGGUCCAUCGACCACCGCUGUUCGCCGAUGUUUCCGCCACCCAGAGGGAGAGGAACAAGCCGGCCGACUUCACCUGAGUUCAUCGGAGUUCACGUCUUCUCCACCGCCGCUUGAGGACGCCCCGCCACCGUUGAGCACCACCACCGCCUCCGCCACUCACCUCCGCACCCGUCCGUCACCUCGCCUUCGCCGGAGACCCACCAGAGGAGCGUUGCCGCCAACGCCCAAGACCGCCAUCGUUUUCCUCUGUUUUGGAUUGUCCGGAGUGCGACGCGAGCUAUUGUCAGGAGUGUGACUUUCUGAAC